AGGAUGAACGCGGGCGGCGUGCCUAAUACAUGCAAGUCGAACGAGAUGCUUUUGUAGCAAUACGAGAGUAUUCUAGUGGCGAACGGGUGAGUAACGCGUUGGUGACCUACCCCAAAGUGUGGGAUAACAGUCCGAAAGGAUUGCUAAUACCGCAUGUGGUCUUCGGAUUUAGAAACCGAUGACUAAAGGAGCAAUUCGCUUUGGGAGGGACCUGCGUCCCAUCAGCUAGUUGGUGAGGUAAUGGCUCACCAAGGCGACGACGGGUAGGGGACCUGAGAGGGUGACCCCCCACAAUGGAACUGAAACACGGUCCAUACACCUACGGGUGGCAGCAGUAGGGAAUAUUGCUCAAUGGGCGAAAGCCUGAAGCAGCAACGCCGCGUGUGCGAUGAAGGCCUUCGGGUCGUAAAGCACUUUUCUGAGAGAUGAGAAAGGACAGUAUCUCAGGAAUAAGUCUCGGCUAACUACGUGCCAGCAGCCGCGGUAAAACGUAGGAGGCAAGCGUUAUCCGGAUUCACUGGGCGUAAAGCGCGUGCAGGCGGUGCGGUAAGUUGGGCGUGAAAUCUCCCGGCUCAACUGGGAGAGGUCGUCCAAUACUACCGUACUUGAGAGCAGAAGAGGAAAAUGGAAUUCCCGGUGUAGUGGUGAAAUGCGUAGAUAUCGGGAGGAACACCAGUGGCGAAGGCGAUUUUCUGGUCUGUUUCUGACGCUCAGACGCGACAGCUAGGGUAGUAAACGGGAUUAGAGACCCCGGUAAUCCUAGCCGUAAACGAUGUGAACUUGGCGUUGGUGGGUUAAACUCCAUCAGUGCCGCAGCAAACGCGAUAAGUUCACCGCCUGGGGACUACGGCCGCAGGGUUAAACU
rnacentral:rRNA from 1 species